rnacentral:rRNA from 1 species
AGCAAGAGUGAACCACCUGAUCCCUUCCCGAACUCAGAAGUGAAACCUCUUAGCGCUGAUGGUAGUGUGGGGUUACCCAUGUGAGAGUAAGUCAUCGCUAGCU